AUUGAACGCUGGCGGCAUGCCUUACACAUGCAAGUCGAACGGUAACAGGUCUUCGGAUGCUGACGAGUGGCGAACGGGUGAGUAAUACAUCGGAACGUGCCCAGACGUGGGGAUAACGAGGCGAAAGCUUUGCUAAUACCGCAUACGAUCUAAGGAUGAAAGCAGGGGACCGCAAGGCCUUGCGCGUUUGGAGCGGCCGAUGGCAGAUUAGGUAGUUGGUGGGAUAAAAGCUUACCAAGCCGACGAUCUGUAGCUGGUCUGAGAGGACGACCAGCCACACUGGGACUGAGACACGGCCCAGACUCCUACGGGAGGCAGCAGUGGGGAAUUUUGGACAAUGGGCGAAAGCCUGAUCCAGCAAUGCCGCGUGCAGGAUGAAGGCCUUCGGGUUGUAAACUGCUUUUGUACGGAACGAAAAGGCUCUGGCUAAUACCUGGGGCACAUGACGGUACCGUAAGAAUAAGCACCGGCUAACUACGUGC
rnacentral:rRNA from 1 species